GAUGAAGAACGCAGCGAAAUGCGAUACUUGGUGUGAAUUGCAGAAUCCCGUGAACCAUCGAGUCUUUGAACGCAAGUUGCGCCCGAAGCCAUUAGGCCGAGGGCACGCCUGCCUGGGCGUCACACGUCGUUGCCCCCCCAUCUACUCCUUCGGGAUUGCGGGGGGCGGAUGAUGGCCUCCCGUGCGCCUCGUCGCGCGGUUGGCAUAAAUGCCAAGUCCUCGGCGACGCACGCCACGACAAUCGGUGGUUGCGAAACCUCGGUUGCCCGUCGUGUGCGGUCGUCGCGCAUCGAGGGCUCGAAAAAAUUGCCGGGCUCCGGCUCGGCUUUCAACGCGACCCCAGGUCAGGCGGGGUUACCCGCUGAAUUUAAACAUAUCAAUAAGCGGAGGA
rnacentral:misc_RNA from 1 species